GGGUUGUGAGGUUAAGCGACUAAGCGUACACGGUGGAUGCCCUGGCAGUCAGAGGCGAUGAAGGACGUGCUAAUCUGCGAUAAGCGUCGGUAAGGUGAUAUGAACCGUUAUAACCGGCGAUUUCCGAAUGGGGAAACCCAGUGUGUUUCGACACACUAUCAUUAACUGAAUCCAUAGGUUAAUGAGGCGAACCGGGGGAACUGAAACAUCUAAGUACCCCGAGGAAAAGAAAUCAACCGAGAUUCCCCCAGUAGCGGCGAGCGAACGGGGAGCAGCCCAGAGCCUGAAUCAGUGUGUGUGUUAGUGGAAGCGUCUGGAAAGGCGCGCGAUACAGGGUGACAGCCCCGUACACAAAAAUGCACAUGCUGUGAGCUCGAUGAGUAGGGCGGGACACGUGGUAUCCUGUCUGAAUAUGGGGGGACCAUCCUCCAAGGCUAAAUACUCCUGACUGACCGAUAGUGAACCAGUACCGUGAGGGAAAGGCGAAAAGAACCCCGGCGAGGGGAGUGAAAAAGAACCUGAAACCGUGUACGUACAAGCAGUGGGAGCACGCUUAGGCGUGUGACUGCGUACCUUUUGUAUAAUGGGUCAGCGACUUAUAUUCUGUAGCAAGGUUAACCGAAUAGGGGAGCCGAAGGGAAACCGAGUCUUAACUGGGCGUUAAGUUGCAGGGUAUAGACCCGAAACCCGGUGAUCUAGCCAUGGGCAGGUUGAAGGUUGGGUAACACUAACUGGAGGACCGAACCGACUAAUGUUGAAAAAUUAGCGGAUGACUUGUGGCUGGGGGUGAAAGGCCAAUCAAACCGGGAGAUAGCUGGUUCUCCCCGAAAGCUAUUUAGGUAGCGCCUCGUGAAUUCAUCUCCGGGGGUAGAGCACUGUUUCGGCAAGGGGGUCAUCCCGACUUACCAACCCGAUGCAAACUGCGAAUACCGGAGAAUGUUAUCACGGGAGACACACGGCGGGUGCUAACGUCCGUCGUGAAGAGGGAAACAACCCAGACCGCCAGCUAAGGUCCCAAAGUCAUGGUUAAGUGGGAAACGAUGUGGGAAGGCCCAGACAGCCAGGAUGUUGGCUUAGAAGCAGCCAUCAUUUAAAGAAAGCGUAAUAGCUCACUGGUCGAGUCGGCCUGCGCGGAAGAUGUAACGGGGCUAAACCAUGCACCGAAGCUGCGGCAGCGACACUAUGUGUUGUUGGGUAGGGGAGCGUUCUGUAAGCCUGUGAAGGUGUGCUGUGAGGCAUGCUGGAGGUAUCAGAAGUGCGAAUGCUGACAUAAGUAACGAUAAAGCGGGUGAAAAGCCCGCUCGCCGGAAGACCAAGGGUUCCUGUCCAACGUUAAUCGGGGCAGGGUGAGUCGACCCCUAAGGCGAGGCCGAAAGGCGUAGUCGAUGGGAAACAGGUUAAUAUUCCUGUACUUGGUGUUACUGCGAAGGGGGGACGGAGAAGGCUAUGUUGGCCGGGCGACGGUUGUCCCGGUUUAAGCGUGUAGGCUGGUUUUCCAGGCAAAUCCGGAAAAUCAAGGCUGAGGCGUGAUGACGAGGCACUACGGUGCUGAAGCAACAAAUGCCCUGCUUCCAGGAAAAGCCUCUAAGCAUCAGGUAACAUCAAAUCGUACCCCAAACCGACACAGGUGGUCAGGUAGAGAAUACCAAGGCGCUUGAGAGAACUCGGGUGAAGGAACUAGGCAAAAUGGUGCCGUAACUUCGGGAGAAGGCACGCUGAUAUGUAGGUGAAGUCCCUCGCGGAUGGAGCUGAAAUCAGUCGAAGAUACCAGCUGGCUGCAACUGUUUAUUAAAAACACAGCACUGUGCAAACACGAAAGUGGACGUAUACGGUGUGACGCCUGCCCGGUGCCGGAAGGUUAAUUGAUGGGGUUAGCGGUAACGCGAAGCUCUUGAUCGAAGCCCCGGUAAACGGCGGCCGUAACUAUAACGGUCCUAAGGUAGCGAAAUUCCUUGUCGGGUAAGUUCCGACCUGCACGAAUGGCGUAAUGAUGGCCAGGCUGUCUCCACCCGAGACUCAGUGAAAUUGAACUCGCUGUGAAGAUGCAGUGUACCCGCGGCAAGACGGAAAGACCCCGUGAACCUUUACUAUAGCUUGACACUGAACAUUGAGCCUUGAUGUGUAGGAUAGGUGGGAGGCUUUGAAGUGUGGACGCCAGUCUGCAUGGAGCCGACCUUGAAAUACCACCCUUUAAUGUUUGAUGUUCUAACGUUGACCCGUAAUCCGGGUUGCGGACAGUGUCUGGUGGGUAGUUUGACUGGGGCGGUCUCCUCCUAAAGAGUAACGGAGGAGCACGAAGGUUGGCUAAUCCUGGUCGGACAUCAGGAGGUUAGUGCAAUGGCAUAAGCCAGCUUGACUGCGAGCGUGACGGCGCGAGCAGGUGCGAAAGCAGGUCAUAGUGAUCCGGUGGUUCUGAAUGGAAGGGCCAUCGCUCAACGGAUAAAAGGUACUCCGGGGAUAACAGGCUGAUACCGCCCAAGAGUUCAUAUCGACGGCGGUGUUUGGCACCUCGAUGUCGGCUCAUCACAUCCUGGGGCUGAAGUAGGUCCCAAGGGUAUGGCUGUUCGCCAUUUAAAGUGGUACGCGAGCUGGGUUUAGAACGUCGUGAGACAGUUCGGUCCCUAUCUGCCGUGGGCGCUGGAGAACUGAGGGGGGCUGCUCCUAGUACGAGAGGACCGGAGUGGACGCAUCACUGGUGUUCGGGUUGUCAUGCCAAUGGCACUGCCCGGUAGCUAAAUGCGGAAGAGAUAAGUGCUGAAAGCAUCUAAGCACGAAACUUGCCCCGAGAUGAGUUCUCCCUGACCCUUUAAGGGUCCUGAAGGAACGUUGAAGACGACGACGUUGAUAGGCCGGGUGUGUAAGCGCAGCGAUGCGUUGAGCUAACCGGUACUAAUGAACCGUGAGGCUUAACCUUACAACGCCGAAGGUGUUU
rnacentral:rRNA from 1 species